rnacentral:rRNA from 1 species
AUUGAACGCUGGCGGCAGGCCUAACACAUGCAAGUCGGGCGAGCCGCGGACGGGUGGGUUAUGUAUGGGUAUCUGCCUGAUGGAGGGGUAUAACCUCUGGAAACUGUAUCUAAUCCCGCAUACCAUCAUAUCACCCCAUAUGGGAUCAGCUUGUAGGUAAGGUAACGGCUUACCUAGGCGACCAUCCCUAGCUGGUCUGAGAGGACGAACAGCCACACUGGGACUGAGACACGGCCCAGACUCCGACGGGAGGCAGCAGUGGGGAAUAUUGCACAAUGGGCGCAAGCCUGAUGCAGCCAUGCCGCGUGUAUGAAGAAGGCCUUCGGGUUGUAAAGUACUUUCAGUCGGGAGGCGUUACCGACAGAAGAAGCACCGGCUAACUCCGUGCCAGCAGCCGCGGUAAUAC